rnacentral:tRNA from 16 species
GAUAGCUCAGCCGGGCAACACACAGGUCUCGUGACCACCGGGUCACGGGUUCAAACCCCAGU